UACGUAGGGUGCAAGCGUUGUCCGGAAUUAUUGGGCGUAAAGCGCGUGUAGGCGGCCCGGUAAGUCCGCUGUGAAAGUCGGGGGCUCAACCCUCGAAUGCCGGUGGAUACUGUCGGGCUCGAGUACGGAAGAGGCGAGUGGAAUUCCUGGUGUAGCGGUGAAAUGCGCAGAUAUCAGGAGGAACACCGAUUGCGAAGGCAGCUCGCUGGGACGUUACUGACGCUGAGACGCGAAAGCGUGGGGAGCAAACAGG
rnacentral:rRNA from 1 species